rnacentral:rRNA from 1 species
AUUGAACGCUGGCGGCAGGCCUAACACAUGCAAGUCGAGCGAGCGGCGGACGGGUGAGUACUGUAUGGGGACUGCCCGAUAGAGGGGGCUAACUACUGGAAACGGUAGCUAAUACCGCAUACUAUCGGAUCACCCAUAUGGGAUUAGCUAGUAGGUUAGGUAAUGGCUCAGAGAGGCGACGAUCCCUAGCUGGUCUGAGAGGAUGAUCAGCCACACUGGGACUGAGACACGGCCCAGACUCCUACGGAGGCAGCAGUGGAGAAUAUUGCACAAGGGGAGCAAGCCUGAUGCAGCCAUGCCGCGUGGAUGAAGGAGGAACUAGGAUUGUAAAGUACUUUAAGUCGGGAGGCGUUACCGACAGAAGAAGCACCGGCUAACUCCGUGCCAGCAGCCGCGGUAAUAC